GGGGCCUUAGCUCAGCUGGGAGAGCGCUACAAUGGCAUUGUAGAGGUCACCGGUUCGAUCCCGGUAGGCUCCA
rfam:Sphingopyxis granuli strain TFA, complete genome.